GUCUAAAAUUAUUUCAAAAGUUAAGCAGGGUUGGGCCUGGUUAGUACUUGGAUGGGAGACCACUUAGGAAGACCAGGGGCUUAUAGGCA
rnacentral:rRNA from 1 species